GGUCCCGCCUGCCCUGUGAUAAUUAUUUAACGGCCGCGGUAUUUUGACCGUGCAAAGGUAGCGCAAUCACUUGUCUUUUAAAUGAAGACCUGUAUGAAUGGCUUGACGAGGGCUUAACUGUCUCCUUUUUCCAGUCAAUGAAAUUGAUCUUCCCGUGCAGAAGCGGGGAUAUAACCAUAAGACGAGAAGACCCUAUGGAGCUUUAAACUAAAGCAGAUCUUGUUAAACGCAUCUAAUUAAAGAAAUAAACUUAAAAGAACCCUGUCAUUUAUGUUUUUGGUUGGGGCGACCAUGGGGAAACAAACAACCCCCAUGUGGACUGAGAAAACAGUUCUCACAACAAAGAGCCACAGCUCUAAUUAACAGAACUUCUGACCUUNGAGAUCCGGCAAUGCCGAUCAACGGACCCAGUUACCCUAGGGAUAACAGCGCAAUCCCCUUUUAGAGUUCAUAUCGACAAGGGGGUUUACGACCUCGAUGUUGGAUCAGGACAUCCUAAUGGUGCAGCAGCUAUUAAGGG
rnacentral:rRNA from 1 species